rnacentral:sRNA from 1 species
UCCCAGUCCAGGGAAAGGCUAACUGCCCUUGGUGGGGAUGUAAGCCCAAGAACAACAACUAAUGGAAAGUGGAAGAAAAUGGAGGAACUAAGGAAACGGAGGAGAUGGCGUUAGACAUCCUGAUUGAUGGCCUCAUGGGACUGACCUCUGAGUCGCUAUAUAAAGUACUUCCCAAUCCUGGCAUAAGGGAGGCUCUCGACUCCUGCUGGCUAAGCCUUUCUAAAAUAGGUCUCCACCCACUCACGUACACUCCCAAUCUGUGCAUAUCUGAGACUGUGUUGUCCACAAGAACCUGAGCUGCUGGAGAUAAGAGGGUAACUCGUGGGCGCUACCUGGGCUCUACUGGAGUGAAAGCUGUUGGCUUCUCCAGAAAUAAAAUGUUAGCCAAUCCAGUGGCUCUGCAGAAGUACUUGGUCGAUUGUUUUGGACACAAAUAACUGUGAGACUCUGAAGUGCCUGAAGUGUAUAAGGGAUAUCAUUUCUGUGGACCUAACUACAAAGAAAAGGACAGGGCUGCACCGUGUCUACUGAGCGGGGACCUGGACAGAUGGAUCUCCAUGCACCAUGCACUGUAAUGACGAUCACUGCAUGACAGCGGGAGCUCUAGGAAAAGGGGGAAAGCAAAUGGAGAACAGGACUACAGAGACCUCAUGUUCCGGACUACAACGGACCCCCAUGUUCUAGACUAUGGCGCCCUCAUGUUCUAGACUACGGUGCCCUCAUGUUCUAGACUACAGCGCCCUCGUGUUCUACACUACGGCAGAAUUCAUGGAUAUGUUAGUCCCAUUGGGAAAUUUUUCAUUGAAAAAAGAAAUUUGUUGAGAGGGCCCCACGUCCCAGAAACCUGAGGGGCUGGAUCACUGAGAGGACCGAGCUCAACUACAGUCUCUCUUGGACAUUGCUAAGGUAAAGGAAAUGGACUCUAGUCCUACAGCACUCUUUACUCCUUCAGGGCCUCAGUUUCCUUCAGAGAUGAUGGGAUUAGACUGUAAAUUUCCUAGUAAAGUGCUUUUGAGAGAAAAUUAUAUGGACUGCAAACCCACCUGGACAGAGUACAGCCACUAAACCAGACCUUCCUAUGGUAUUUUCCACAGUCACCUCAUUUAAUUGAAUGUAUUUGCACCCCGUGGCAUACUACAAAUCGCUCCCCAUUGGGUCAGGGAUUCCCCCUCCAUGCCACUUGAUAGUUUCCCAGUACCCUUUGGAAAAUGAGACUUAACCAAGCAUUUCCAGAAAGGUCUGAAGAGACAUUACUGCUUACACAUGUAACUGGGAAAGGCCGCAGCAGGACUGAACUGAUGGUGAAUAAAUUGAGCUGGCCGGCUGCUGAGCUUCUCAGCUACAGAAUGCCGUGUCCCUUGGGUGUAGUUAUUAGUUUUGUCUGGCUUCCUCCCAUUCUACAGAACGAACUGGUUUCAGGAGCAGGCUGACCAAAGAGGCCGCAGGGAAAAGCACCUAAACAUGUCAGCUUGAGGGAGACUAGAACUUCACCCUCUGCUCCCUCUGAGCUGAUAUCCACUCUGAAAACCUCCAGUUCUUGGCACAAAGACGGAGUGAGCCUCUGAUGAGUUUCAGGAAGGAGCCAGUUGUGGCUAUACCUGUUCUGCCUGCCGGCUCGGCCUUGGAUCUGGCUGACUGCAGAGUGAGAGACCUUUGGCUGUUAUUUCAAGCUCUUGGAACAGAGGGCGGACUCUGCCCCCUCCCCCAAAUUGGAGAUUUCGAUUCAAAGGAGUUUAGAGUGGGAUACCUUGGUUUUGGAAUGCCAAGAAGCAGACAGGAAAGGUGAUUUGGUAACAAACACAACACUCAGUGUCACGGGCCUGGGUGACAAUGUGCACCUUUGAGGCUUUUGGGGCACGGUUGCAGUGGAAUGCACAGCUGUGUGCUUGUGCCUCUAGUGCAGCUUACACAGCAGUCUUAGACCUCGGAUUUAAAGAGAUGAGACGCACGAGGACUGUUGGUGGUGAGAGGGAGGCCGCAGUUCAUGGUGGUUCCACCACAUAUGGGCAGCUGUUUUUAUACAAGGGGCCGGUUUUCCCAACCAGAGCUUCCCAUGCAUUAAAUAAAGCCACGCAGGCCACUGAAACUUCUGGAAGCUGGCCAUAGUAGCUUAACCUUGAUCUACCCACCAGAUAUAAACAGUGUGCAGAAUGUUUGUUACUAUGGUUGUUGAUCUCACCGCUUUAAAUUAUGAAUCCAGGCAUUGCCCUUAAAGUACACAACAAACGUGUUUGUGUGAUGUAAGGCUUUGGGGAACCCGUGUUGAAGUCUUAGCUUUAAGUGUGGGCGUGUACGGUGCCUUCAAGAACAGAAAAUACCCAUUCAUCCUAAACUAUCCUAAGGAUUCAAACAUUUCAAAGACAAUGUCGAUUCAGACUCUGGUAAGGAGGCUUCUGUAGCCAGAGCAAGGCGAAGCUAGUGUAAGAGUUCUUGUGGCUAAGAAAUUUUACAACAGAGGCAUAAGGUCCGUCGUGGGGAGAGUGAAAGGUACGUGCGUACGACUAUCCACAAGAGAUUAUCAUCAUAACCAGGGAAAGUGUAGACAGACCAUUUCCCACAGAAGGAACUAGAAGCCCCUCCUAGUGAGCAAUGCUGAGCCUUCACAGGCAGAGCAGAGUGUGCACUGACAGAUGAUGUUCCCUUCAAGAGCUGACCUUCCUGCUAAAACUGGAACCGUGUGGGUGACCAGUCCCUACGGAAACCCAUUUCUCAGAUCCUGGAUCCUGAGAAAACUGUCCGGAAUGGAAAGCAGCAGAUAGAGGUCAGCAUCCCCACCUGAUCUCAGGGACUGAGUAGCUUCUGGAAUUUUGGGCACUGUCAAAUAUUGACUGUCCCCUGAAAAAUCUUCCCCCCGGAUCCAGGCAUGGAUUUUGUAACUUUGGUGGAAAUAGAGCCCAUGUCAUAAUAAUCUUUGAAGCUUCCUUUAAAGAGGCUGGAGAGAUGGCUCAGUGGUUAGGAGCACUGUCUUGAAAGACC